AUUGAACGCUGGCGGCAUGCCUUACACAUGCAAGUCGAACGGUAACAGGUCUUCGGAUGCUGACGAGUGGCGAACGGGUGAGUAAUACAUCGGAACGUGCCUAGUAGUGGGGGAUAACUACUCGAAAGAGUGGCUAAUACCGCAUGAGAUCUACGGAUGAAAGCAGGGGAUCGCAAGACCUUGUGCUACUAGAGCGGCCGAUGGCAGAUUAGGUAGUUGGUGGGAUAAAAGCUUACCAAGCCGACGAUCUGUAGCUGGUCUGAGAGGACGAUCAGCCACACUGGGACUGAGACACGGCCCAGACUCCUACGGGAGGCAGCAGUGGGGAAUUUUGGACAAUGGGCGCAAGCCUGAUCCAGCAAUGCCGCGUGCAGGAUGAAGGCCUUCGGGUUGUAGACUGCUUUUGUACGGAACGAAAAGCACUGGGUUAAUACCCUGGGGUCAUGACGGUACCGUAAGAAUAAGCACCGGCUAACUACGUACCAGCAGCCGCCGUAACAC
rnacentral:rRNA from 1 species